rnacentral:rRNA from 1 species
UACGGGGGGGGCAAGCGUUGUUCGGAAUUACUGGGCGUAAAGGGUGCGUAGGCGGCUUUCUAAGUCGAGCGUGAAAUCCCCGGGCUCAACCCGGGAACUGCGUCCGAUACUGGAAGGCUUGAAUCCGGGAGAGGGAUGCGGAAUUCCAGGUGUAGCGGUGAAAUGCGUAGAUAUCUGGAGGAACACCGGUGGCGAAGGCGGCAUCCUGGACCGGCAUUGACGCUGAGGCGCGAAAGCCAGGGGAGCAAACGGG